UACGGAAUGUGCAACCGUUAUUCGGAAUCACUGGGCUUAAAGAGUCCGUAGGCGGCCUGUUAGGUGAGGUGUGAAAUCCCCCGGCUCAACCGAGGAAUUGCGCUUCAAACCGGCGUGCUUGAGGAAGAUAGAGGUGGGCGGAACUGAUGGUGGAGCGGUGAAAUGCGCAGAUAUCAGGAGGAACACCGAUGGCGAAGGCAGGUCUCUGGGCAUUAACUGACGCCGAGGAGCGAAAGCAUGGGGAGCGAACAGG
rnacentral:rRNA from 1 species